AGAGUUUGAUCCUGGCUCAGGAUGAACGCUGGCGGCGUGCCUAACACAUGCAAGUCGAGCGGCAGCGAAGGGUGCUUGCACCCUGUCGGCGAGCGGCGGACGGCUGAGUAACGCGUGGGAACGUGCCCCAAAGUGAGGAAUAACUGCCCGAAAGGGUAGCUAAUACCGCAUAUUAUCUUCGGAUCAAAGGAUUUAUCCGCUUUGGGAGCGGCCCGCGUCGGAUUAGGUAGUUGGUGAGGUAAUGGCUCACCAAGCCGACGAUCCGUAGCUGGUCUGAGAGGAUGACCAGCCAGACUGGAACUGAGACACGGUCCAGACUCCUACGGGAGGCAGCAGUGAGGAAUCUUCCACAAUGGGCGAAAGCCUGAUGGAGCAACGCCGCGUGCAGGAUGAAGGCCUUCGGGUUGUAAACUGCUUUUAUAAGUGAGGAAUAUGACGGUAGCUUAUGAAUAAGGAUCGGCUAACUACGUGCCAGCAGCCGCGGUCAUACGUAGGAUCCGAGCGUUAUCCGGAGUGACUGGGCGUAAAGAGUUGCGUAGGCGGUUUGUUAAGUGAAUAGUGAAAUCUGGUGGCUCAACCAUACAGGCUAUUAUUCAAACUGGCAAACUCGAGAGUGGUGGAGGUCACUGGAAUUUCUUGUGUAGGAGUGAAAUCCGUAGAUAUAAGAAGGAACACCGAUGGCGUAGGCAGGUGACUGGACCAUUUCUGACGCUAAGGCACGAAAGCGUGGGGAGCGAACCGGAUUAGAUACCCGGGUAGUCUACGCCGUAAACGAUGGAUACUGGCUGUUGGAGGUAUCGACCCCUUCAGUAGCGAAGCUAACGCGUUAAGUAUCCCGCCUGUGGAGUACGGUCGCAAGACUAAAACAUAAAGGAAUUGACGGGGACCCGCACAAGCGGUGGAUCGUGUUCUUUAAUUCGAUGCUAAACGAAGAACCUUACCAGGUCUUGACAUCCAGGGAAUUUUUGGGAAACCAAUUAGUGCCUUUUGGAACCCUGUGACAGGUGAUGCGUGGCCGUCGUCAGCUCGUGUCGUGAGAUGUUUGGUUAAGUCCAUCAACGAGCGCAACCCUUGCAACUAGUUGGAUUUUUCUAGUUGGACUGCUUCGGUAACGGAGAGGAAGGAGGGGAUGAUGUCAGGUC
rnacentral:rRNA from 1 species